UUUCAUUCAACCUUUUCUUUCUCCCUUAUAUUUUCCGCCGAUGCAUACACUGGUAGUCAGUAUUGAGGUAUAAGAAUUCGAUAACAGAGAUCUGGGCUGAUAGUCUGCGUGCACACUUUGCCACGAAACGUCUUAAAGAGAGCGACCUGGUCAUGAAUCAGCUAAUAAAUAUUAUUUCGUGCCAUUUAGAAUUGUUGUAAUCUACGGUUAUAACAUUUAGUAUGAUCUGGUGUCAUGUAUUAUGAAUAAGAAUAUGAAACAUUCCUCCUUAAAAUUCUUAUUUCAC
rnacentral:lncRNA from 1 species